rnacentral:siRNA from 1 species
UCUAUCAUUGACAACCAAGACGAU